rnacentral:rRNA from 1 species
AGAGUUUGAUCCUGGCUCAGAAUGAACACUGGCGGCGCGCCUAACACAUGCAAGUCGAACGAGAAAUCUCGAGCUUGCUCGAGAGAGUAAAGUGGCGCACGGGUGAGUAACGUGUAGGUAACCUGUCCUUAAAUCUGGGAUAAUCCACCGAAAGGUGGCCUAAUACUGGAUAUGGUCUUUUAGGCUUUGGCUUAGAAGAUUAAAGCUGACCUCUUUAUAAAAGUUGGCGUUUAAGGAGGGGCCUGCAUACCAUUAGCUUGUUGGUGGGGUAAAGGCCUACCAAGGCUACGAUGGUUAGCUGAUCUGAGAAGAUGACCAGCCACACUGGAACUGAAACACGGUCCAGACUCCUACGGGAGGCAGCAGUGAGGAAUAUUGCGCAAUGGGGGAAACCCUGACGCAGCGACGCCGUGUGAGUGAAGAAGGCCCUCGGGUCGUAAAGCUCUGUCAAGUGGGAAUAACGUCCCAUGAUUAAUAGUCACGGGAUCUGAAGGUACCACUAAAGGAAGCACCGGCUAACUCCGUGCCAGCAGCCGCGGUAAUACGGAGGGUGCAAGCGUUAUUCGGAAUUAUUGGGCGUAAAGAGCGUGUAGGCGGUUGGGGUAGUCAUAUGUGAAAUCCUUCUGCUCAACAGGAGAAGUGCAUGUGAAACCACCUAGCUUGAGUACGAGAGGGGAAAGUGGAAUUCCCAGUGUAGAGGUGAAAUUCGUAGAUAUUGGGAGGAACACCUGUAGCGAAGGCGACUUUCUGGAUCGAUACUGACGCUGAGACGCGAAAGCGUGGGUAGCAAACAGGAUUAGAUACCNNNNNNNNNNNNNNNNNNNNNGAUGGGAACUAGGUGUAGCGGGUAUUGAUCCCUGCUGUGCCGAAGCUAACGCAUUAAGUUCCCCCGCCUGGGGAGUACGGCCGCAAGGCUAAAACUCAAAGGAAUUGAACGGGGGCCCGCACAAGCGGUGGAGCAUGUGGUUCAAUUCGAUGCAACGCGAAAAACCUUACCUGGGUUUGACAUCCUCUGACAAUCCCUGAAAGGGGACCUUUCCGACUUUGUCGGAACAGAGUGACAGGUGCUGCAUGGCUGUCGUCAGCUCGUGUCGUGAGAUGUUGGGUUAAGUCCCGCAACGAGCGCAACCCUUGUCUUUAGUUGCCAAUAUUCGGUUAGGAACUCUAAAGAUACUGCCCCGGUUAACGGGGAGGAAGGUGGGGAUGACGUCAAGUCCUCAUGGCCUUUAUACCCAGGGCUACACACGUGCUACAAUGGGCUGUACAAAGGGUUGCAACCUCGCGAGUGGAAGCUAAUCUCAUAAAGCAGUCCCAAGUUCGGAUUGGAGUCUGCAACUCGACUCCAUGAAGCUGGAAUCGCUAGUAAUCGUGGAUCAGAAUGCCACGGUGAAUACGUUCCCGGGCCUUGUACACACCGCCCGUCACACCACGAAAGUUGGCUGUACCAGAAGUUGUUGGGCUAACCCGACACUCAACUCUAUGCUUAAAUCAGGCAAUUUCACCAUAUUCUCUAAUAUCGUACGGAGGAGCUACUACUAGAUGAUUUAAACACUGAGUUGAGUGGCGGGAGGCAGGCACCUAAGGUAUGGUUGAUAAUUGGGGUGAAGUCGUAACAAGGUA